CCGGUGGCGAAAGCGGCUNUCCGGCUUGUAACUGACGCUGAGGCUCGAAAGCGUGGGGAGCGAACAGGAUUAGAUACCCUGGUAGUNCACGCCGUAAACGAUGAGUGCUAGGUGUUAGACCCUUUCCGGGGUUUAGUGCCGUAGCUAACGCAUUAAGCACUCCGCCUGGGGAGUACGACCGCAAGGUUGAAACUCAAAGGAAUUGACGGGGGCCCGCACAAGCGGUGGAGCAUGUGGUUUAAUUCGAAGCAACGCGAAGAACCUUACCAGGUCUUGACAUCCCUCUGACCGCUCUAGAGAUAGAGCUUUCCUUCGGGACAGAGGUGACAGGUGGUGCAUGGUUGUCGUCAGCUCGUGUCGUGAGAUGUUGGGUUAAGUCNNGCAACGAGCGCAACCCCUAUUGUUAGUUGCCAUCAUUCAGUUGGGCACUCUAGCGAGACUGCCGGUAAUAAACCGGAGGAAGGUGGGGAUGACGUCAAAUCAUCAUGCCCCUUAUGACCUGGGCUACACACGUGCUACAAUGGCUGGUACAACGAGUCGCAAGCCGGUGACGGCAAGCUAAUCUCUUAAAGCCAGUCUCAGUUCGGAUUGUAGGCUGCAACUCGCCUACAUGAAGUCGGAAUCGCUAGUAAUCGCGGAUCAGCACGCCGCGGUGAAUACGUUCCCGGGCCUUGUNC
rnacentral:rRNA from 1 species